GGGCUUUGUGAGAUAGAUGGUGUCGACUUGUUUGGAUUCCAGUGGAGCGGAGCUGACCCUACCCGAACAGGCCUCUGCCCUGCUUGGAUAGAGACCUCCGGAGAGGAGUAAAGAAUGACUGUUGAACAUUCUCAACGCACCUGCAAGACCUCUAACUUCACCCUGGAGUUGAGCAGAAACAUAGCUUGCCUUUUCCCUCAA
rnacentral:lncRNA from 1 species